AGAGUUUGAUCAUGGCUCAGGAUGAACGCUAGCGGCAGGCUUAACACAUGCAAGUCGAGGGGUAACAGGAGAGCUUGCUCUUGCUGACGACCGGCGCACGGGUGCGUAACGCGUAUACAAUCUACCUUAUACUGGAGAAUAGGCCAAAGAAAUUUGGAUUAAUGCUCCAUAGUAUUUUCGGAACACAUGUUCUGAUUCUUAAAGCUCCGGCGGUAUAAGAUGAGUAUGCGUGAUAUUAGCUAGUUGGUGAGGUAAUUGCUCACCAAGGCAACGAUAUCUAGGGGGUCUGAGAGGACUAUCCCCCACACUGGUACUGAGACACGAACCAGACUCCUACGGGAGGCAGCAGUGAGGAAUAUUGGGCAAUGGAGGCAACUCUGACCCAGCCAUGCCGCGUGAAGGAAGAAGGCCUUAUGGGUUGUAAACUUCUUUUAUUUGGGAAGAAACCUAUUUACGUGUAAAUAGCUGACGGUACCAAACGAAUAAGGACCGGCUAACUCCGUGCCAGCAGCCGCGGUAAUACGGAGGGUCCAAGCGUUAUCCGGAAUCAUUGGGUUUAAAGGGUGCGCAGGCGGUUUAUUAAGUCAGUGGUGAAAUCUCGGGGCUCAACCUCGAAACUGCCAUUGAUACUGAUAAACUUGAGUUCAGUUGGAGUAGGCGGAAUGUGUAGUGUAGCGGUGAAAUGCUUAGAUAUUACACAGAACACCGAUAGCGAAGGCAGCUUACUAAACUGAUACUGACGCUGAGGCACGAAAGCGUGGGGAGCGAACAGGAUUAGAUACCCUGGUAGUCCACGCCGUAAACUAUGAUUACUCGAUAUUGGCGAUAUACUGUCAGUGUCUAAGCGAAAGUGAUAAGUAAUCCACCUGGGGAGUACGGUCGCAAGAUUGAAACUCAAAGGAAUUGACGGGGGCCCCGCACAAGCGG
rnacentral:rRNA from 1 species